CACGCUCCUCCGUCUUCUUUCCUUCUGAACUAACCCUCAAGGCGCCCUCUUGGCUGGGACUUGAAGGUAGGCCCUGGAAGCUUCCCAGUUGAAGGGGUAAUGGUCAGGGGACCAUUCAAGACAUGCGGAUGGAUUCAAAAUACACGUGGGAUGAUACCCUCCGAAGAUACUUAGUAUCUAGACUGCUUCGAUUUAACAAGGUGACGCCCACCCGGGCCCACGUACACUCAGGCCCUCGAGUCUCUGACUCAACAAGCCACAGAUGUUGCUCUCCAGACUCUUCCCAGGCAAACUUCAGCUCUUUUUCACCUACUGCUUCUCAACUUUUUUUUUAAGAGAACAAAUUGAUGGCUACCAGAGAGCAGACCCUUACCGCUGAGUCAGCUGGGAAGCUCCACCGACAAGUACACACUGCUAUACUGAAAAUGGAUAACCAACAAGAAUCUGCCGUGUAGCACAGGGAACUCUGUGAUCAGGCCUCUGAACUUUGGAGCCGCAACGUUCUUAGCACCAUACAUCUGGAAGCAUCUUUUUAAAAGCAAAAAAUUUUCUAUCCUCACUGAGGCAAGUAAUCACGUCUGGAACAAUUACAUUGUCAUAUGCUCCAGAUCUGUGCUUUCUGCCUAAUCAGAAAAAUAAUUACAGCAACAGACUUCAGGCAGACCUGGACAUACUACAGGAAUCCAUGCCUGGAAAACUGACCUGAUUUCACCCAGUAUUUCAAAUAAACAACUCAGGAAUGUG